CGACAACAUCACUUUGAAACACCGUUUCCUGUACGAUCACCGAAGUUAAGUAACAUUCAGCUUGGUCAGCACCUAGAUGGGUGACCGCUUGGGAACA